rnacentral:rRNA from 1 species
UGGGGAAUAUUGCACAAUGGAGGGAACUCUGAUGCAGCAACGCCGCGUGCGGGAUGACGGCCUUCGGGUUGUAAACCGCUUUCAGCCAUGACGAAGCUUUUGUGACGGUAGUGGUAGAAGAAGCACCGGCUAACUACGUGCCAGCAGCCGCGGUGAUACGUAGGGUGCGAGCGUUGUCCGGAAUUAUUGGGCGUAAAGAGCUUGUAGGCGGUUUGUCGCGUCGAUAGUGUAAACACGCAGCUUAACUGCGUGCCUGCUGUCGAUACGGGCUGACUAGAGGAGGGUAGGGGAGAAUGGAAUUCCCGGUGGAGCGGUGGAAUGCGCAGAUAUCGGGAGGAACACCAGUGGCGAAGGCGGUUCUCUGGACCUUACCUGACGCUGAGAAGCGAAAGCGUGGGUAGCAAACAGG